UCCCCUCCUCCCUCCUCCUCCUUGAGUUAGACAGUGAAAGGAUUCAGAACACAUCCCUCUUGCUGGGGGUGGAUCUGCAGAAGCUCUGUGGGGGCUGUGGGGCUUGCAGGGGUGCUGGAGUUCUGAGAGGAGCAGAAAGCUGGGGGAAGGAAGAAGAGCAGUGCCCCAUCUUCAUCCAGGAGCAGGGCGGCAUCUGUGGACAGGGUGACCUUCGACGGGCGCUGCAGCUUCACUUCUGAAAUAUGAGGUGAACUAGAUGGCCCCUGUAACCCUACCAGUUCUGAUGAUCCACACUGGGCUGCACUGCCAGGCAGGGCCAGCCUGGGCAAGAUUGCUAGAGACAAGCACACAGAAGUCCCAUGCACACAGAAAUGUCCUCACACACACUGAAGAAUAAUCCUAUUUGGAGCAGCCUCACUAUGAUGCUCUUCUUCCAGGAGCUAACUGCCUAGAAUGGAGUUCUGUUUUAGAGAAC